AAAUCUAGCUCUGGAUCAUCUUAAGGGCUUGCACUUAAGAUAAUUAGGCCAACUAUCCAGCUUUCCAUCUCUAGAUUUACAACACUUUUGAACACCAUGAGGAAAGAGUGAGUUAUUGGAGGAAGUCUUAGCAGUGUGAGGCCAAUAAAAGGACCGGGGACGAUUCUCAGAGUUGUACCAAAGGUCAUUGUGGAGAAAUCAACUAAAUCAGAAGAUGUUGGCACCACUGGGAAAACAACACCUUUGCCAACGAUUUUCCAUACAAUGAACAUCAGCUUGGAGAUGACCUCUAAAGAACCAAACACAUCCACUUCGACAGCAGAGGUGAUCUGCAUGGACAAGUUCGACAGCAGCAUGAUAACAAUACUGCCAGAUCCUGAAGGGCAGAGAGUGAACAUGCUGUCCAUGGCUGUGUUGGGUUUGAGAGUGCUGCUGGCAAAGAGCAUCGCCUUCAAUGCCCUCAUGAGUAUCAAGUUGUUUCUUUUCUGAGUCAUGGGGAAUGAAGGCAAGAGGAACCCGAAGAAGAGCAGGAAAGAACGUGAACCAGCAGCACAAGGGGGUUGAACAAGCAGGGGCAGAGCAGCUGACAGAGACCAGCCAGGACACAAGGCAGCACCUUCCCGUCAGGACAUUGAAUCCUCUUCACUCCUGCCUGGCCAGCUGAUUCACACUGAAGAGUUUUAAGUGCUUUUGCUGUUUCCUCUCCUCUGAGAGCUGAGGAGGGGAAUUUAUCCACAUCCUCCUGCUUAGCAGAUCUCCCCACUCUUCUGGCAUUUGCACACAAGUGUCCAACCUGCAUCAAUAGCCUUGAAAACUCCAAUGCUGACUCUAGACCUGUGGCCUUUUAAAAGCACCUUUGCCAGGCAUGUUGUGUUACUGCCUCUAGAAGUGGAGUAUUACUGCUGAGAGAAUUCAAGCCCUGGAGCUGCCAUUUCUGGCUCUGGGUUUUGGACAGAUUUAAUAACAUCAAGUGUGUAUUGCAGAUGAGAAGAACUGUGUAGGAUCUCAAGUGAUUUAAUUCAAGCAGAAAAUGUUCAUUUCUUUCUGAAGCCUCUAUUUCUUCUGCCAAAUGUAUCUCAUGUGCACUUUAGGUUCCUGUAGUAGUGACAAAAAUAAAGUUG